rnacentral:lncRNA from 1 species
GUCAUUUUAGUUUUCUCCAUUUUAAAAGCUUCUUUGUUGGUUGGGCUUCGAUCUGUUCUUUCCUUGUAAUUUCUGACAUGUCCACUGCAUCACAAUGAAAAAUGAUAACCAGUUAGAAAUUCCACGUACAAAACCAAACAUAAAUAAAUGAAAAUGUUGGAAAAUAUUGUUCAUAAAUGAACUUCAUUGGACCACGGACAAGCUUUGGAAUCUUUUCCAAUUAAGUUCUUGAAGGUUUUUCGUUCUAUGUCAACAAAGUAACAUGUAUUUAGUUGCUUUUUUUCUUUUUUUGCCUACAAAUUCGAGAAAGAUCAGUCAUUUUUAAACGAAGUAAUGAAGAACAAUACUAUCAGGUCCCCGAGCCAUCAAGGUAAAGAAUAUAUUGUUCAGUUUCUCCAUCUUCUUGGCCUCCUAUGCUUGAUCUGUCUUGAACUUAAGGCACUAAUAGCAAAUAAAAUAGUUUAUAAUGAGAAACCCCAUAGCAUUUCCCAUGAAAGAAGUAGGGUAACAUCAAAUCCAGAAGUCAUAAAUCCAGUACUUUACAAUUGAUCAAGCUCUUUCCCUCAAACAAACAAUAAAAAUUACUAAAAUUGAAUGCCAAAAACACAAUAGAAUGUGAAAUAAUGAAAAACCACAGAAAAAGUACAUGUACGUUAGGAACGAGUCUCAUAUUUUCACAACAAAACAGAUUAUACUGAUUUUUAGAAGAGAUCCCUCAACUGCUUUGGGUUAUUCGUCCAAUACAGAUGCUAUUAUAGGUCUAUAACUUAUAGAUUCAAACUUGAGAUAUUCAAGCAACACGGAAGAUAAAGUUUGUAAGUUAAAGAAAUCAGAUACCAUGAUUUUGCAGGUAGACAACAGGGAAAAGGGGGAGGUGGCUGCAGGUGCAGGUUUUGGAGUGGACCUAGAAGAUGCUGAUUUUGCUGCAAUGUUGGAGAGCAUCGAUUGACACUUCUCCUGCUGCUGUUUAAAUCUACCUAACUUCUCUUGUAAUGCCAUCACUCAAGACCUUCUUAACCUUCAUAACUCUCAAAUCCCAGAGACAAAAAAGAAAGAAAAAUCUCAAAUCAACCAGAUUUCCUAGAACUCCCAUUUCUACUACUACCUUUGAAGAAAUGAAAAGGAAGAAGAAGUGUGAUUGGUGUAGGUGUAUUGACU